CAGCUGACACUGCCAUACUCAUUGGAAGCUUUGCAUGUAUACUCGCCGCAGUCAACCACCUGGGUUCUCAGGAUUUCAAGGCUGGAGAUAUACUUUGAAGAUCGAAUAGAACACUUGUCACUCUCAUAAAUUUCUCGGCCAGCUUUAAACCACUGGAACCGGACAUUGGGAGCACUUUGGAUCUCACAGGAUAUAAGCAUUAGAAGACAGGACUCAAGUGUCUGCUGGCUGUAAAAAUACUGGAGAAACUCAUCUAUAGCAUGCAGAAUACAUAUUCAGGCAUUGUGUACAAUGCAGCUGUAUAGUCC
rnacentral:lncRNA from 1 species